CUGUAACCUGGCAGCUGGGGCACAUUGCCCCUUGAUGAUUUAGGUAAACGGUCCUCAAACCCCCAGUUUCAAAGCCUUGGGGAAAAGAUUCCUCAAAUUCUGUCCUCCAGUUUCUAUGAAUCCCUAAGAACAUAGUUGCCUAAAUCCCCUCUGCCCCAGCCCUUUUUCGGAAUGUUAGUGUUUAUUUCACCUUGGGUUGAUCUCCACUCAUUCACUAGUCUACAGACUCACACUCAUGCCCAUACAAACUCACUAAUGUACACACUCAUGCACACACAUUCAUGGACAUACACACAUUCAUGCACUCACACACUUAAGAACACAUACACAUUCACUCAUGCACACACACACGCACACACAUGCGCACACACACAUGCACACACACUCAUUCAAGGACACACACACUCAUGCACACACACGCACACACAUGCAUACACACUCAUUCAAGGACACAUACACACAUGUACACACACUCGUGCACACACACUCAUUCAAGGACACACAUACACACUCAUGCCCACACACACUCAUGCCCACAGGAUCCAAUUGGCUGGCCUGCACUUGCUGAAUUUCGCCUGAGAUCUGGGGCUAUAGAAAGGGUCGUGCAGAUAGUAUCCCGUUGCCUCGGGAGCUCUCUGAAUUCCCUCCCUGAAUUCCCUCUCCAUUUGAUUCUUCUUGCUUUUCC
rnacentral:lncRNA from 1 species